UGGGGAAUAUUGCACAAUGGGCGCAAGCCUGAUGCAGCGACGCCGCGUGGAGGAUGAAGGUUUUCGGAUUGUAAACUCCUGUUAAGUGGGAAAAAAGACUUCUACCUAAUACGUAGAGGGGAUGAUGGUACCACUAGAGAAAGCACCGGCAAACUUCGUGCCAGCAGCCGCGGUAAUACGAAGGGUGCGAGCGUUAUUCGGAAUCACUGGGUGUAAAGAGCGUGUAGGCGGCUUGAUAAGUCAUUCGUUAAAGAGCUCGGCUUAACUGAGCAUAUGCGGGCGAAACUGUCAGGCUAGAGUACAAGAGAGAAGAGUGGAAUUCUCGGAGUAGCGGUAAAAUGCGUAGAUCUCGAGAGGAACACCGGUUGCGAAGGCGGCUCUUUGGCUUGUAACUGACGCUUAAGCGCGAAAGCGUGGGGAGCAAACAGG
rnacentral:rRNA from 1 species